rnacentral:rRNA from 1 species
UGGGGAAUUUUGGACAAUGGGCGCAAGCCUGAUCCAGCCAUGCCGCGUGAGUGAAGAAGGCCUUCGGGUUGUAAAGCUCUUUCGCGAGGGAAGAAAAGGUAUGGGCUAAUACCCUGUACUGAUGACGGUACUUUGAUAAGAAGCACCGGCUAACUACGUGCCAGCAGCCGCGGUAAU